GACAGAGGGUGCAACCGUUGCUCGGAAUUACUGGGCGUAAAGGGCGUGUAGGCGGGAAGGUAAGUCGGGCGUGAAAUCCCCAAGCUCAACUUGGGAACUGCACUCGAAACUACCUUUCUUGAGUGCCGGAGAGGAAAGCGGAAUUCCUGGUGUAGAGGUGCAAUUCGUAGAUAUCAGGAGGAACACCAGUGGCGAAGGCGGCUUUCUGGACGGUGACUGACGCUGAGACGCGAAAGCGUGGGGAGCAAACAGG
rnacentral:rRNA from 1 species